rnacentral:rRNA from 1 species
UACGUAGGGUGCAAGUGUUAAUCGGAAUUACUGGGCGUAAAGCGUGCGCAGGCGGUUAUGUAAGACAGGUGUGAAAUCCCCGGGCUUAACCUGGGAAUUGCAUUUGUGACUGCAUGGCUAGAGUGUGUCAGAGGGGGGUAGAAUUCCACGUGUAGCAGUGAAAUGCGUAGAUAUGUGGAGGAAUACCGAUGGCGAAGGCAGCCCCCUGGGAUAACACUGACGCUCAUGCACGAAAGCGUGGGGAGCAAACAGG